GACUAUGGCUAUACCACCCUGAAUGUGCCCGAUCUCAUCUGAUCUCGGAAGCUAAGCAGGGUCAAGCCUGGUUAAUACUUGGAUGGGAGACCGCCUGGGAAUACCUGGUGCUGUAGACU